GCUCACGUAGCUCAGGAGGUAGAGCACUUCCUUGGUAAGGAAGAGGUCACCGGUUCAAAUCCGGUCGUGAGCUCCA
rnacentral:tRNA from 2 species